CGCAGGCGGUCGUUUAAGUCGAAUGUGAAAGCCCCCGGCUCAACUGGGGAGGGUCAUUCGAUACUGAUCGACUUGAAGGCAGGAGAGGGAAGUGGAAUUCCGGGUGUAGUGGUGAAAUGCGUAGAUAUCCGGAGGAACACCAGUGGCGAAGGCGACUUCCUGGCCUGUUCUUGACGCUGAGGCGCAAAAGCUGGGGGAGCAAACG
rnacentral:rRNA from 1 species